GCCUAACACAUGCAAGUCGAACGGUAACAGGAAACAGCUUGCUGUUUCGCUGACGAGUGGCGGACGGGUGAGUAAUGUCUGGGAAACUGCCUGAUGGAGGGGGAUAACUACUGGAAACGGUAGCUAAUACCGCAUAACGUCGCAAGACCAAAGAGGGGGACCUUCGGGCCUCUUGCCAUCGGAUGUGCCCAGAUGGGAUUAGCUUGUUGGUGGGGUAACGGCUCACCAAGGCGACGAUCCCUAGCUGGUCUGAGAGGAUGACCAGCCACACUGGAACUGAGACACGGUCCAGACUCCUACGGGAGGCAGCAGUGGGGAAUAUUGCACAAUGGGCGCAAGCCUGAUGCAGCCAUGCCGCGUGUAUGGAGAAGGCCUUCGGGUUGUAAAGUACUUUCAGCGGGGAGGAAGGGAGUAAAGUUAAUACCUUUGCUCAUUGACGUUACCCGCAGAAGAAGCACCGGCUAACUCCGUGCCAGCAGCCGCGGUAAUACGGAGGGUGCAAGCGUUAAUCGGAAUUACUGGGCGUAAAGCGCACGCAGGCGGUUUGUUAAGUCAGAUGUGAAAUCCCCGGGCUCAACCUGGGAACUGCAUCCGAUACUGGCAAGCUUGAGUCUCGUAGAGGGGGGUAGAAUUCCAGGUGUAGCGGUGAAAUGCGUAGAGAUCUGGAGGAAUACCGGUGGCGAAGGCGGCCCCCUGGACGAAGACUGACGC
rnacentral:rRNA from 1 species